rnacentral:rRNA from 1 species
CCUACGGGAGGCAGCAGUGGGGAAUAUUGGGCAAUGGGCGCAAGCCUGACCCAGCAACGCCGCGUGAAGGAAGAAGGCUUUCGGGUUGUAAAAUUCUUUUGUUAGGGAAGAGUAGAAGACGGUACCUGACGAAUAAGCCACGGCUAACUACGUGCCAGCAGCUGCGGUAAUACGUAGGUGGCAAGCGUUGUCCGGAUUUAUUGGGUGUAACGGGCGUGUAGCCGGGUUGAUAAGUCAGAUGUGAAAGCCUGCGGCUUAACCGCAGAACUGCAUGUGAAACUGUUGAUCUUGAGUACUGUAGAGGCAGACGGAAUUCCUGGUGUAGCGGUGAAAUGCGUAGAUAUUAGGAGGAACGCCAGUGGCGAAGGCGGUCUGCUGGACAGCAACUGACGGUGAGGCGCGAAAGCGUGGGGAGCAAACAGGAUUAGAUACCCGAGUAGUC